UGGGGAAUCUUGCACAAUGGGGGAAACCCUGAUGCAGCGACGCCGCGUGAACGAUGAAGCCCUUCGGGGUGUAAAGUUCUUUCGACGGGGACGAUAAUGACGGUACCCGGAGAAGAAGCUGCGGCUAACUACGUGCCAGCAGCCGCGGUAAUACGUAGGCAGCGAGCGUUGUUCGGAAUUACUGGGCGUAAAGAGUGCGUAGGUGGUUGGCCAAGUUUGGUGUGAAAUCUCCCGGCUUAACUGGGAGGGUGCGCCGAAAACUGGUUGACUAGAGUGUGGGAGAGGGACGUGGAAUUCCUGGUGUAGCGGUGAAAUGCGUAGAUAUCAGGAGGAACACCUGCGGUGUAGACGGCGUCCUGGACCAUGACUGACACUGAGGCACGAAAGCGUGGGGAGCAAACA
rnacentral:rRNA from 1 species